rnacentral:rRNA from 1 species
UCGAGAAUCUUCGGCAAUGGACGCAAGUCUGACCGAGCGACGCCGCGUGUGGGAUGAAGGCCUUCGGGUUGUAAACCACUGUCAGAGGGGAGGAAAUUUGUGGGGGUUCUCCCCCAUGAUUGACCUAGCCUCAGAGGAAGGACGGGCUAAGUUCGUGCCAGCAGCCGCGGUAAGACGAACCGUCCGAACGUUAUUCGGAAUCACUGGGCUUAAAGGGUGCGUAGGCGGCGCAGUAAGUAGGGUGUGAAAUCCCUCGGCUUAACCGAGGAACUGCGCCCUAAACUACUGUGCUCGAGGGAGAUAGAGGUGAGCGGAACUUAGGGUGGAGCGGUGAAAUGCGUUGAUAUCCUAAGGAACACCGGUGGCGAAAGCGGCUCACUGGAUCUCUUCUGACGCUGAGGCACGAAAGCUAGGGUAGCGAACGGGAUUAGAUACCCCGGUAGUCC